UUUGCUUUAACAUCUCUUCCCCACCACCACCACCCCCUAUCUUUUGUAUACAAGUUCUUACUGAGUUUCAGAAAUUCUGGGUUCCAUCUACUUGAUCCCACAGUGGAAUGCCUAGAUUAUUGGCCCAAAUUUUGUUUUUUAAAUGAAUUCCAACACUAUCCUGGGGUAUCUUGCAGCUCAGACUCCCUAUCUGGUUCUUAGAUUUGCACUUAGCACAUGGUUAAUUUUGUUGGUUUGCCCACACUGGAAAGUUCGUUCUAAAGGGUAUGUGUGGGCAUGAGGUCCAGCCAUUUUUCCAAUGAUCUAAUGCUGAUUUUGUCACUGGGUUUUUGGGGGGUUUCUGUGUGUUUGGUGUUUUUGGUUAUCCAUGUAUUGCGAACUGUUAUUCCUAAAAGCUUCUAGAUGCCUCAUCUCUAGGCCCCAUCAGAAAUGACCAAUUACAAACUAAACUACUUUUGAGACACGACAAAAGGAAAAAGAUGAGCUGGAACCUUUCUCACUAGUUCAGUGGGAGAGCGGAAGAAUCUUGACUUUGACCUUGAGUUCCAAUCUUAACUCUGCCAUUUGCUAACUUGGCCUUGAGCAGAUGGCAUCCUCUCUUUGGCCUCUCCCGGCAGGAGAGGAGGACAAUAUAGGGAAGAUUCCAUGGACAACAUGCCAAAGACUGCGGCUUGAAAAUGGCACCGAGCUAAUUCACCACAACCCCGUUGAAGGACAGGAAUUGAAAUCAUAAACACGGAGAGCGAUGAGCUAUCCGUCUGAAGUGACGAACGGAACUCACUCGUUGGACGGUCAGCCUCGGACGAUAAAUAUGCCGGUUGCAGCCCAGUCUACCAUGCCACUCUUAUCUCCGUGCUGCUAGAUUUCAGAUUAAAAUAUUCCCUUAAAUCUCUCA